rnacentral:tRNA from 1 species
GCGGCCUUAGCUCACUUGGGAGAGCGCCAGACUGAAGAUCGUCAGUCACGUAAUCUGGAGGCACUGUGUUCGAUCCACAGAGGCCGCA